AUACGGAGGGUGCAAGCGUUAAUCGGAAUUACUGGGCGUAAAGCGUACGUAGGCGGUUCGUUAAGUUAGAUGUGAAAGCCCCGGGCUUAACCUGGGAACUGCAUUUAAAACUGGCGAACUAGAGUUGAGUAGAGGGGAGUGGAAUUUCAGGUGUAGCGGUGAAAUGCGUAGAGAUCUGAAGGAACACCAGUGGCGAAGGCGGCUCCCUGGACUCAAACUGACGCUGAGGUACGAAAGCGUGGGUAGCAAACGGGAUUAGAAACCCGUGUAGUCC
rnacentral:rRNA from 1 species